GCGGUCAUGCUGGAAUUGGUAGACAGGCACGGUUGAGGGCCGUGUGGGUUUUCCCGUGAGAGUUCAAGUCUCUCUGACCGCACCA
rnacentral:tRNA from 4 species